rnacentral:rRNA from 1 species
AUGCACGCUGGCGGCGUGCCUCAUCCAUGCCAGUCGAGCGCACGGACGAGAAGCUUGCUUCUCUGAUGUUAGCGGCGGACGGGUGAGUAACACGUGGAUAACCUACCUAUAAGACUGGGAUAACUUCGGGAAACCGGAGCUAAUACCGGAUAAUAUUUUGAACCGCAUGGUUCAAAAGUGAAAGACGGUCUUGCUGUCACUUAUAGAUGGAUCCGCGCUGCAUUAGCUAGUUGGUAAGGUAACGGCUUACCAAGGCAACGAUGCAUAGCCGACCUGAGAGGGUGAUCGGCCACACUGGAACUGAGACACGGUCCAGACUCCUACGGGAGGCAGCAGUAGGGAAUCUUCCGCAAUGGGCGAAAGCCUGACGGAGCAACGCCGCGUGAGUGAUGAAGGUCUUCGGAUCGUAAAACUCUGUUAUUAGGGAAGAACAUAUGUGUAAGUAACUGUGCACAUCUUGACGGUACCUAAUCAGAAAGCCACGGCUAACUACGUG